GAGGAAUAUUGGACAAUGGGCGCAAGCCUGAUCCAGCCAUGCCGCGUGCAGGAUGAAGCAUCUAUGGUGUGUAAAUUGCUUUUGUACGAGAAGAAACACCUCUACGUGUAGAGGCUUGACGGUAUCGUAAGAAUAAGGAUCGGCUAACUCCGUGCCAGCAGCCGCGGUAAUACGGAGGAUCCAAGCGUUAUCCGGAAUCAUUGGGUUUAAAGGGUCCGUAGGCGGUCUUAUAAGUCAGUGGUGAAAUCUCCCCGCUCAACGGGGAAACGGCCAUUGAUACUGUAAGACUUGAAUUAUUAGGAAGUAACUAGAAUAUGUAGUGUAGCGGUGAAAUGCUUAGAGAUUACAUGGAAUACCAAUUGCGAAGGCAGGUUACUACUAAUGGAUUGACGCUGAUGGACGAAAGCGUGGGUAGCGAAC
rnacentral:rRNA from 1 species